CAAACACUUUUGGGAUCCUGUGAUUAAUUCUGUAAUUCCGUGAUUGAUUCCAUGAACCCCACCUGUGCUCCCUCUUCCAGAGUGAGAUUUCCUCUGCUUUGGAGGGGCCAAGAUUUCAAGUCAAGGCCCCAGUUCUUUUUCCUCUGUUUUGCCCACCCAGCAGAAUUCCAGGCUGGGGAAAUUGUUGGAGCUGUGGUUUUAACAUGACAGCAGUGACGAGAGGGCGAAUGAUGUUUCUGUCAGUGCACUGAAGGCCAUUGUGCACUAUCGAUUUUUGUAUUUGUUUGGUUUUUGUUGGUGUUUUUUGUAGCAGAACACUCCAUUCAAAGGAGUGUAAAACACUCCAUUAAAUAUUAAUGCUUUCCCCCACUUCUUUUCUCUGUGGACACAUCUCCUUCUGUUUUCCCAGGUCCCCAUCCUGCUGGACAGCUGGAGGAUGUUCCCACCAAAUGAUCAGCAGGUCGAGGAUGCUGCAUAAAACACUCAGCAGUGCCCCUUUAACGUGGAAGAAACUUGACUUUUAUUGCUAGUGCUGAAAGCAUCUACAAAUGUAGAUUUAGCAUCAGCCUCCAGGCUUAAGAUACAGCUGUUAUAUUUUCCUUUCUUCCUUUAAUUUUUUUUCUCCCCUCUCCUUUGCACUAAUGUAAUGCUUAUUUAGGAACUACAGCCAUCUGUGGUUGCUAGGGAUGGCACUGUUAAAUUUGCUGUUGCUUUCUUUCCCCUGGUUUGAUGAGGCUCUCAGUGCACAGAGAAUUCCCCAGGACAGCACAGACUUGCUUUGAUUGCCUUUUUUAUUUAUUUUUUUUUAUUUUUUGAAACACAUCCCAAAGAGAUUGUUCACAGGGCUCUGUCUGUGCUGGGAAAAGGUGGUCAGCUGGAGGGCUGAGAUCCUGCCUUGUCGUGGGUUAAUGAGGUGAGGUUAUGAAGAACCAGGCAGCAGAAGAAGUUGAUGAAAUUAGAGGGGAUGGCAAGUAAAAAGGGAGGGAAGGAGGAAGGGCUGGGACCAGAGCCCUUCCUGUUGCUCACAGCAGCCUGUGGUUAAUGGUGAGAGGAUUCACGUGGGAACUGGGGCACUUGCAGCACUCAAGGGAAUAUUUUAGUGUUUUUCCAGUGAAAUGCUGUGCCUGACAGAUGGACAGGGAUCUAUCUACCCUGAGUGGAGCUGGGCACAGCCCUGCACAGCAGGAUGGAUGUGAGGUGCUGCCAGCAGGGACUUGGCUCUUUGUGUCAGCAAAGGCAAAGGUGGAUUCUGCCUGUUGUGUCCCUGAGCUGCCUUCAAGUGCCUCGUGCUCACCCUUGUGAGGAAAGGUAAAUCUUAAAAAUUGCUAUAAAGAGAAAGGAAAAUAUCUCUCCUUUGGGGCAAAGCCCUGUAGAGAGAGCUGCUCUAGAUGUCCUGUGAGUGAUUUACCUUUUAAUCUCCAUCUCUUUGGUUUUGUUCAGUGUUCUUUCUGUUACCUGCUCCUUUAGAUUGUCCUCUGUGGGAGCCACAGCUCCUCUUUGCACUCUGGAGCCCCUUCCCUGUGGACUGCCCUUUUCAUGGGAAGGUUAAUAACAAGUUUAUCAGAAAAUACUCUUGCAUCUUAUGUAAAAUCAGAGGGGAGGUGCUGCUUUGUGGUCUGUAGGAGCUGGGAUGGGUUGUGUUUGACCAGAAAUCCUUUGGCUGCAUCUCCUUGGGCAGCCAGGCCCAUUCCUUGCCCCUGUCCAUAAUUGUCCUGCAAGGCAGGCUGGCUCCAAGCUCUUUGAAAUGAGGUGUACAAAAUGGUGAUGGUUUUGGGUUUUUUUUCCAGUUCAAAGCCAGGGCAGGGCUUUGCUGCUGCAGCCAUGAGGGGGAAUUGGUGGAGUUCCAGGUGUCAGGAAAAUCAGUUUAUCUCUCCAGGCUGCCUGGAGGUCCCUAUGUGCCUGAAGUCCCAGACUCACUGGAUGCUCCUUAGCUGUCCCUAGGGCUGUUGGUUCUCCACCCUUCAAACCCAGGCAUUCCAGAGCCUGGAUCAUGCUCCAAACCUGGGAAUGUCCCAGGGCAUGCUGGGCACCCUGAACUGGAGGUGAGGAUGGGAACCUGCUCUGCUGAAGGCGCAGUGAUGAGCCUGGCACCGUGGUCCUGCAGCUGUCAGCAUGAUGAAUGGGUGUUGUGUUUUAUUUCCUGCUUUAUCAAAUACUAAUUAUGUAGAUGAUAAUUCUCAGCAUCACGGUUCCUUUUGGCUCAUUUGUUUUUCACCCUCCAGAGCAAGAAUAGGGGGUUUUUCCAUCUCCCUCCCCCCUUCCCAUUCUUGAAAUUCUGCUUUAAUUGCUUCUCUUUGGCUUUUGCUUAAGGUUUGCUGCUCUGAACAGGUCAAUGUAUUGAUCCUGCACUUUGAUAAGGUCAGCAGAGAUCAGCUGUGACAUUUCCAGGAGAUUUGCUCCUCCCCUAAUGGGCUUAGUCAUCAAAGAGUUUUCCAGGGGACAGGGCAGGGGAGAGAUUGGAUUUCAGCUCUUACACAUGUUUAUUUGGGCAUGUUCUGAGCAGUGGGAUCACUUGGCAGACUAAAGGAUGUGCUGUGCAGGGUAUGAACUCUGCCUCUGGUGCCCACCAUGGUCACUAAAUGUCACAGAAGCUCUGUGUGUGUGGCUGGGUGAGGUGGCACCAGCUGAUCCCAAAGGGCACAGAGCAAGGGGACCCCACAAACCCUGGCUGUGGCAGCCCCAGCCCAGCCCUGCUCUGACCAUUCAGAGGAAGGCAAGGAGAUAACAAAAAGAACAAGCAAGCAACAUCUGCUGGGCCAAAUGAGCCUGGGGGAGGAAAAUAAAUCAACAAAUUCCUUCCUGAGCUCUUGGGGAGUGAGGCUGGGCUGCAGCUUCAUGGGGAGUGCAAGGAGAGCAGCAGAUCACCCAGAAUUUCCUGUUCUUGUCGUGGCUGAGGGGACAAGGAAGGGAGCCAGGGUAGGGAGGGAUGCCCUGAGCCACCCAGCCCCGCUCCCUGUGCUCCUGUCUCCAGGAGCUGGAUGACAGCCUGCCUGUGAAGGAGUUAUCUACUCCAGCAGUGUCCAAGCUGGAGGAUCCACACCCUGCUGUGUCCCUCCCUGCUGGGAAACAGUGCUGUAUUUUGGGAUUUAUCUGACCUGAGCUUCCAGGCAUUGAAUCUCAUCAUCUCCUUGUCAGAAUCCUGGGAAGUCCCCUGCCAGCCAGGACAUUUCCAUGUUGAUGCCUGGACAUUUUGGGAUUAUUUUAAAGCAACGCUUUGGCAAACUGAGGAAGCUGAGCUGAGUUCGGACUUUUCCCAGCUCUCAGCUCUGUGUGUGGAAUCCUUUUGAAUGCUCUCCAAGGCCUCCCCUCCCUGUGUGGACACCCCACAUCUCCUGGAAAGGCUCUAAAAGCUGCCCAGAGCUGUGCUGUGCUCUGCACAAGGGCUCUCACAGCCUCUAAAAUGCUGGAGGGGGUUGUUUUGUCAUAUAAAGUCAUGCAAAUGUGGGUGAAAUAGAGGGAAAUGGAGGGUAAGAGAAGAAGGAAAUGCAAAUGUCCAGUGAAAGCCUGGUGCCCGUCCCUGCUUGGAUGAAUAUUCACUUACUCCAGGGACAGCAUCUUUGGUCCUGCUGCAGUUGGUGCUUUCUGAGGUAAUCUCUCACGUUGGAAUAAGCUGUCAUUUGCAUUCCUGGUUUCCAGAGGUGUUAUCUUGCACUGCCUUGCAUCAGACUACAUUUUUGCAGGGUGAUGUACCUCAGCAGUGAGGAGGGGGUGAGCAGCCUGUGGCCAAGUGACUGAGUCUGGCUGAGCAAAACCAAACAAAAGCAAACACCCCCUGUGCUGUCACCCUCUCCAGCCACCAAAGUGGGGAUGUUUAUCCUCCUGAAUCCCUGUCUAGCCACACAGAUCAAGGGGCCCUCGAUUGGGGUAGAUCUUGCUGACACUUGAUAGGAAAAGGUGAGAAAAAUGUAUUUAGUGGGUCUGCAAGGGGCCAUGAGUGCUGCCCUUGUAGGUGGGCUCAUUUAACCCACACUGUGACCUGCCCUGUUCUCAUGGUUACUUACUUGUGACCUCCCCUUCUGCUGUCUAUAAACAUUCCCAGAGAAGAGAAUCACUCCAGCAAAUGGUGGAUAAAAUGCUGAAUGAUGUGGACAGAGAGCAGAGCACUGGAAUUGAUCUAAACUGCCUGCAUGUCCCUCCAGAUUCUGAAGCAAAAGCUUUUUUCUGAGUAUUUUCAGGCUAUGUAGUGAGGCCAUAAAGAUUUCAGGGUGUCCCAGGCAAUGACAGAGUGAUUCAAUCAGGCUCCCUUAUCAGAUUCUCUCUGUCCUGCUUGUCUUCCCUUUUCUCUUCUCCAUCUCUUCUCUGUGGAGAAUGCUGGAUUGGAAUUGCUCAGAUGGGCAGCUCAGCCUUUAGCAGAGUAAGCAGAUUCAAGACUACAAGGUAACUAAAAAAUUCAGCUGUUUAAUGAAACCUGUGGCCCCCAGCUCCUUCCCUGUGCAGCCCUGCACAGCCCAGGACAGUUGCUAUAUUUUUAUUUCCUAUUUUGUGCACUCAGGAUUCUUCUUCCUGGAGGAUUUCCAAGGUGUCAGCCCCUGAGAUGCUCCUGACCCUGCUCUUGGAAGCACAAGGGAGACAAGACAUGUGCCAAUCCAGGCCCACAGAGGGAGGCCGAGGGCUCUCCGGGCAUGUUCACAAGGGAAUAUUGACAUUUGGGACCAAGGGAUGGAAAACUGGGCUGUGAGCUGCUGGAGCUGUUAUCAAGGAUAUUUAUCCCAGCAACUUUCCCCUGCAGGACUUCUCAAGGUUGUGCUUCUUUUUCUCCAUUCCCACUGAUACCUGGCCUGGAAAUGUGGGAAGGGAAGAAAGCACCAGAAUGUUUCCACCUGGCAGCUGGGUUGGCUUUCACAGGACAUCCUGGAUGAGACAAUGAGCGACACUUUUCUGCCCUCUGCACUUCAAAUGGGCUUUGAAAAUCCCUCCAGGGAUCCAGGAGAUGCCUAAGCAUCUCUGGCUGAAGGAAAAGCAGAGCCCUCUCCUGCUCAGUAGAAGCCAAACACCUCAUUAGCAAUAUUCAGGAAUUCCCAAAUUCCAAACGCACAGUGCUGAGAAGGACAGCCAGAUAAACUACCUUUCACCAAUUCUGGGAAUUGCUUUUGUUCAUGGCUGGAAAAAUCCUCCAAUUGUUGCUUCCUAGCAGAGUAUUCCAUCAAACCCAGGAAUUCCUCCCUGGCCCCACUUUGGAAAAAUGUGCUGUUCCUUUUUUACUUGAGCACUGAAAGUCUUUGGUUAGAUGAUAACCAAACACAGAGGAUGGGGAGUGCAGACCUCUGUGAUGCUGCCCUGGUGUGGCUCUGCCUAAAUCCCAAAAAAAAUCCCCCCAAACCUCUCCCUGUUUCCUCAAUAUCCCGACAGAGGCAACUCAGCUGGAAAGAUGCAUCCUGGCUAGGAUCUCCUGGAAUUCUUCCCAUGAGAAAGGCAGAUAUUUAUUUAAAGAUGGGACUGAAUCAAAACAGACAUGGGGAAAUGUCAAAAUAUUCCAUAAGUAGGAAGAGGAAGGAAUACAGUUGUCUCUCUAGCCCGUGAAUGAAUGACUUCCAUCUUGGGAGAAGCAGGAGUGGGAAUGGAGCGAGUGGAAUCUGUUCUGCUCUGCCAGUGUUGACAGAAGGGAAUAGCUCCUCCUGCCUCGACCAGAAUGGAUUCAAGCAGAGUAAACGGAGAGCUGCAGGGGCAGGGAGCAAAGGAAAACAGAGGAGAUUGCUUGGAAAACACGAGGAGGGAGAUUGAAUACUGAGGGGACGCGUGUCCCUGAACGUGGUCAUGAGGAAAUGGAGCACCCUGAUGGAAGUGAGAGCAGAAGCCAAUGCUGCUCUGGAAUGCAAAGGAGACACUGAGUUUAGUGAAUAUAGCCCUAAAGCCUCAAUUUUGAAUGGCUGAAAUUAGAGGAAUGGCUGUGGAACAGGGCUAGAAAAAGAUGAUAUUUAAGGUCCUUUCCAAUCCAAACCUUUUAAUGGUUCUAUGCUGUGGGAAUGACUUGUGGCAGACCAGGGGGAUAUGAGGAAUUAAAGUCUUUUAAUUCCUGCUCAACACCAUCCAAGAACUGCUUCCCAACAGAGGAUGCAUUCUGGGGAGGAUGGCAGCAUUUAGGAUUUGUUUGCAAAUCACAGCUGAAACCUAGGACUGAAUUUUGCUGCAUAAAGAUUUGGAUAGUCCUGCCAAUUCCCAUGAUAAUGCCUUGAUUUAUUAGCUCUUUCCUAAAGACAAAUGUGAGAUAACUUCAAUAGGCAAAGUUGGCCUUGACUGCCACUUUUAAAAAUACUUGAAAAGAGACUUAAAUUAGGGGGAGAAAAUGCAGAAAGAUCUAAAAAGGGACAGAAUAAAUUUAGAAAUCAGCUUCAGAACUGGCUGGAUUCUGCAAAUGUCUAAAACUAAAAAUAGAGGGGAAAGAUGAUUUUUUUUUCCCCCCUCCUUGAUCAAUUUAUUUUUUUCUCUCCUCACAUUGGGGUCCCCUCUAAGUUUACACCGAGCCCACGAGCCAGUGCCUGGUAAACAUUUUUGGUGUUAUUUUUGUCUAAGUGACAGCCCUGGGUGGCAUCCAAGCACAACCACAACAAACUCGAGUGAGCCAGAGCAGCGUGAGCACCAAAAAACCCUGGAGCAGACAGGGAGCGAUGCCACUGCAAUUCCAUCCUGGGGGAUUGCCACCUGCAUGAGGUCCCCAAACCACAAAGCCUCUUUGAGACGCUUCUUGGCUGGGAUCUGGCAGGAGUGAAGCUCUGGCACAGGUGUCUGUUCCUGCUGGAAGUAAUGAUUGGAAAGUGGGAAAUGGGCUCCUCACUUCCCACAUCUCUGUUUGCACAUUUUGGAUCUUGGACAUGGGAAUGUCGCAGCAGCGCCACAACCCAAACCACAACCCCUUGGAAGACGGGGCUGGAAAUUUUGUGACCCUUUGACUUCAGUGAUGGGGAUGACAAUGACAAGAGCAGCAGGAUCUUGGCACAGCCUGGCUGCUUCCCGGCGCCUCAGCAGCUGGGAAGGUUUCUGCUGUGGACUCACCAGAUGCUUGGCAUUUGGGAAUAAUUCAGCGUCGAUCAAAGCAGGAUGGAUAAAAAAAAAAAAGGAAAAAAGGAGAACCCAUGAUGGAUUCAUCCUUCACUGUGGCAUUAGUACAGCCCAGCCCUGUCCCCCUCCUCCGUGUCAGUGGUGAAAAAUGCCUCCUGUUCUCCAGCAAUUACCUGGUUGGGCUCACCCUUGGAAUGCCGAUCCUUCGGGAAGCGGCAGCGGCCGCCCCGCUCCGUCAUGCCGGUGAUGGAUGAGCCCCUGCUCAGCCCUGCUGCCAUCUGCCACCAGGGUCCCCUCCCCGGUCCCCAACAAGUGACAUCCUCGUUCCUUCACACGGAUCAGGGGCUAGAGGGAAAAGUGGCAGUGAUGAAAGGCUCCUGCAAAAGCGCGAAUUCACUGCGGAACGGGGGAGGCAAGGGAAGAGGCUUGGUGUGGGAAGGAAGGAGAAGAUGGAAAGAUGGAAGGGGAGGAAGGGAGGGAUCACCUGACUCACGUCCAGUCCCUGAGGUGUCACCCCACUACUGUUGAUGAGGCUCCUGAUGGUUUGGGUACUUGCUCAUGGCUCUUUUUGCCUGGGAUGUCCCUAGGAAAUGGAAUGUGUCCCAGCUGACACACCACUCACACCCCACCAUGAUCCUCAAGGCACAGCAGAGCAGGGAGCUGGAAUAAAUCAGACAAGUGGCGGAUGUCAAAACCAAAACUGAACUGGAUGGGCAGUUAAAAGAAAACUCCUCUGGGGCUAGGGUGACCAAAGGUAAAGUUAACUUGGAUGCCAAACCACCUCUGGAUGUCUCAGGAUGCAACAGAGUGUCUGAAGAUGGAAAGCUUCAUCUGGACAAGUUUGGGACAUCAUUGGAAACCUCCCUCCUUCCUCAAGGGAGAUGCAAAGCUCAAAGAAAGCCCUGCUUUGCUGAUGGCAUUUUCCAGGCUGGGUGGAUCUGUUCCACCUCUGGAACAAGAUGAGAGGGACCUGGUGGUGAAAUCCUGCCAUAUUUCUCAGGUUUGUCCUCAAAACCUUCAGCUGGAGCCACCUUGCUAUCAGGCACAAUCACUUUGCAAAGUACUUGGUUAUGGUCACCAAAACCUCUCAAUUAAAUUUAUUUUGGUAAUAAACCCAUUUCACUUCCUGGGUUUGAUCCCAGGUUUGCCCCAAGCUGCUCAGGUCAAAGGAAGCUGAAAGUUGGAGCUGAAAUCUCUCCUCAGGCAGGAUUUACAAGGGAAAAACAAGAGGAAAAAGCGGUUGGCACUUCUAGAGAUGCUCUAAAAAUGCUCACCAAGCAGAAACGGUGCCACAAGAAUUAUUCCCCCCACUCCAGCUAUCCCAAACUCCAGGAAAUUGUCCUUGCCCAUCUGUCAGCUCAGCUCCAACACAGAACAAAUCUCAUUAACAGGCACCAGAGAUUUAGGGAAGGGCUGGACUAUGGCAAAGCUCUUUAAAAGAGGAGAUAAACCAUCCUCUGCUCCAAGGAACAGAGGUGGUAGGAAGAUAUAAACACCAACAAUCCUCCUGGGAAUGCUGGAGAAAGGCCAGGACAGCAGCACGUCAUCACAGCUAUGUUGGGAUGACCCCACAGCAAUGAAAAUAAUUUAUUAGGACUGGUGGGGGAAAUAAAAGAAAAAGCUUUCCCCAACCUAAGGGUACCACCAGCAUCAGUGCAAUAAUAAUAAGUAACAAUCAAUCAAUCAAUCAUUGUCAUCAUCAGGAUCCUAGCUAGCAGAGUUCAUCCUUUGUGGGAGUGGGAAUUGCUGGGUUUACUCUACAUCCCAUCAAUUUCCAAGUGGAUUUGGCAAUAAAGCUGAAGGCGAGGUUUCCAAAUCUGUUAAGUCAGGACAGGUAAUGGCUUCAUGUCUUUUGAGGAAAAAUAUCAGUGGGGAAAGAAAAUCACAAUCAUGAUGCAUUUAUUUCUUUGUAAGUAUUAAUUUGCACAGAAACAGCAUUACCAAAUAAUUAUCUGGGAUAGGGAAGGAAUAGUAGGGAAUUUUUUUGAUGAUGCUGCAGAAAUAUUCUCCUACAGGUGAAGGGAUCACUGCAUUUCAGCAGGAAAGUCAAAGAAUUCCCAUUGUUGUGCCCCAGCAAGGCCUGGUUUAAUUCCCAGCAGCAAACAGAGACCCACAAGUGAAAGAAAAAUCCCCUAUUUCAUUGUCCUCACUGUUAAAAUUACAGAUACAGGAAUAACAUAUCAGGAUUUUUCUCAUUCCAAAACUACAUAAUGGAAAAAAAAAACCCCAAAAAUUCUUCCUAAUCUUUUACAGGUUUCAAGAAUUUUGUCUACUAAGUAUGUUCUCCAACGGGCAGAAGUUGGGAGACAGAGAGAAAAUGCUGCCAACAAGGAGAAAGUGACAUUUCCCUGUUACUCUGGGUUUUUACACCUCUGAAUUUUUGCAGCCACCUCAACACUUGUAAGCUGAAAUAAUAAUUUUAAAAUAGAGCAAACAUUCUCCCCCUCCUUCCUCCUCUUCCGCCAGUGCUUUUCUCACACAUUUUUCUCCAAUGGAAGGAGACAGAUAAUCUAAUUUGACGUUUUGGGAUAAAUUCCCUGCAGGAACUGUGGAAAUGCCACCUGCUACCUGCGUGUUAGAUUUGAUCAUAAAUCACCAGCACCCAGCAUUUCGACAGGAUCUCCUGAUAUUUUAAUGGCCACGAAAGGUCUGGCCACUGCUGGAAUUAAAGCCCAAAUCGCAGGUUUAUGUUUUUCUGGAAAUGCCAAAUGCUGCCUUGCUUCUUGUAUCACUCUUAAUUGCCCUUCCUUAAUUACAAGGAGUGAAAUCAUUAAUUAUAUUCAGUGGAAAGGGACACAAACGCUCCUGCUUGAGUCUUGGCCCUCUUGGAAGUUCAGAAUGAGCUCUGGGAGGAUGUUGGGCACUGGAAAAGGAAUAUUUGGGCAAUGCUCUCAGCCACAGGGUGGGAUGGGUGGGAUGUCUGUGCAGGGUCAGGAGUUGGAUCUGAUGAUCCUUUCAGGUCCAGCUUGGGAUAUUCUGUAAUUCUACAGUGCUUAAAACACCAGUUCAGCCUUGGGAGGCUCCUCUGGUCUCCUGAAAUCCAAGGUCAGACAUUUGGAAUCUCAGACCAGGUUAUGGAUCUGGCUGCAACAUCUCCAUCUGAGACCUCCCCUAACCAUGGGCUACAUCCCCCCUAUGCUUCCAGGAGAUUCUAAAACACCUGACACUGCAAGGAUGUCAGAGAUUUUGAGCUGCUUUGCUGGCAAAGCCAAGUGACCAGAACAUCUCUGCUCAAUCCUUCAUGGCUGGGAGAAAAUCAGGGUCAGCUUCUAGCAUUCAAACUGGGAAGGAAAAAAGAAAAGAAAAAAAAAAAAAAAAGAAAGAAUGGGUUGAGUAAGGUUGGUUUAAUCUCAAACUUGAAGACCCCAAACACACCCAAGCUGCCCUGUUUGACAGCAGAGAUGCUGGAAAUAUGUCCAAGAGGGACACAACUGCCUGGGGCUGCAGGAAGAUCCCAGAGAGGAUAUUCACUACCACACCUUGGGUUUCCACAACUUUUCUGUCACCCCAAUUCUCUGAGGACCAGGAGGGGACGGGAAGCCCUGAGUGCAGCUCUCAGUGCCCAGCACUGACAUUGGGAGAGGAGCAUCCCGACUGUGUUUGUGCCAAAGCUGGAUCAGGAACAGCGUCGGAAUCCUCUGCAAGGCUUCAAAGUUUCCGCAUGAUUAUGCGAGCAAAUAUUUGGGCUGGAAGUGCUGUUAGUCAUUAUUUGCAGUUCAUUUUCUCUUAUUUGUUCUCUGUCUUUUAAAUAAUAAAAGAGAGAAAGCCAAGAUGACAGCUCACAGCAUUCCCAUCCAGGAGCAGCAACAACAGCUGGAUUUUUCUGCUGAACACCUUUGGUUGUGCACAGCUUCCCGGGAAAUGCUGUGCCAGGGAGGAAUUUGGAUGGAGUCUUUCUGGAUUUACACCCUGGGGCAGCACAACAGGAACCAUUCCCUGUUUCCAGUGCUCACCGGAUCUGGGGGCUUCCCUGCUUGGUUGCUCUUUGGCACCUCAUUUGGAGGUCUGAUCAUGGCAACAGCUGUUCCUCAAAUCCAGGGCUUAGCACCGUUAAUCACAUCAGUAGGCAGCGGGGUUUCCUCCAGCAGGAAAUCCAGGAACAGCUCCAGACUUGCUCCCAUUCAGGGAAGGGUUUACACUCAUCCAUGGAAGUGCAAGGAUCCCUGGGCAUGAGAGAAGCUGUUCCACUUCAGAGUGGUAUAACUGGCAUCAAAAAUUACUUGAGAUGUAAAACCACAUCUCCAGAUCCCCCACAAAUCACAUUCCAGCCCCAGGUGUCUCUGUGCCUCCAGCCCAUGGUGCCUCUGCCCUGUACAGAGUGGGGUGGGAAGGUCUGGGCAGCAGCACUUCCAUAUAAAAAACCUGGCAUGGAAAGUGUAGGAUUGCUCCCUUGAUUCUCCAUGGCAGAGGCCUCAUGCCUUGUUUGGCAAUGGGCUCCUCUUCCAGAGACCCAUGGUAAAAUUUCCUAAAAUACCAGAGGAGCUACCCUGGUAGCAGGAAUUUUGGACAGGAUGAGCCAAAUCUCAUGAGUGUCCCCAUUCUUUCCCCCCAAAGAUUUCAAAGUGGUGCCACAUGAAAUGCCACGUGAAUUUUUUAAGGGAUAAUAUUCCAUUUUAAGGGAUAAUAUUCCACUGACCCAGCACAUCUAUCAGGGUGGAGGGGAUGGGGAGAGAAGCAAGCUUGGCAUUGCAGUUGCAAUUUUACUCAGGCCAUCAUUUUGGAGCUCAGAUUUUCUCAUUCUGGGGUUCAGGGCUAUCCUUGAAAUAAAUUAUCCCUGCCAAGAGCUCCUACAGCUUCCACGCUGCAUCCAAAGGGUGGAGAGCAAUCCAUUAACAUCACUGGGCAAAGAGACAAGCAGCACCUCAGGGGAAAAAAGAGUGGAAAAAAAAAAUCACAGUGCUGCUCCCAAUAGUUCAGAUAUCUCCAGUCAAAUCAGAAAAUCAAGGAGAGAAGCUGGGAAAAAAAGAU